CAAACCCUACUGUGUUUGUGAUGUAACUGUAACGGUUUUGGGCCAACACUCUUCUUCAUGGGUUCUAACUUGCAGAUUUGAUGCGUUAGGCGAAAGCCAAGGCUGACCUUCUGAGGCGGAGCCCAACCUGCGAAAGCAGGUUCAAAACUUUGUUACACACGGCACGGUGGGGUGUCA
rnacentral:other from 1 species